CCUAGGGGGGGCUGCAGUGGGGAAUAUUGGACAAUGGGGGCAACCCUGAUCCAGCCAUGCCGCGUGUGUGAAGAAGGCCCUCGGGUUGUAAAGCACUUUCAGUGAGGAAGAACGCCUGGUGGUUAAUACCCAUCAGGAAAGACAUCACUCACAGAAGAAGCACCGGCUAACUCCGUGCCAGCAGCCGCGGUAAUACGGAGGGUGCGAGCGUUAAUCGGAAUUACUGGGCGUAAAGCGCGCGUAGGUGGCUUGAUAAGCCGGUUGUGAAAGCCCCGGGCUCAACCUGGGAACGGCAUCCGGAACUGUCAAGCUAGAGUGCAGGAGAGGAAGGUAGAAUUCCCGGUGUAGCGGUGAAAUGCGUAGAGAUCGGGAGGAAUACCAGUGGCGAAGGCGGCCUUCUGGACUGACACUGACACUGAGGUGCGAAAGCGUGGGUAGCAAACAGGAUUAGAUACCCCGGUAGUC
rnacentral:rRNA from 1 species